GACGAACCGUGCGAACGUUGUUCGGAAUCACUGGGCUUAAAGGGCGCGUAGGCGGGCGGUCAAGUCAGAGGUGAAAUCCCGCGGCUCAACCGUGGAAGCGCCCCUGAUACUGGCCGCCUCGAGGGAGGUAGGGGCGUGCGGAACUUCCGGUGGAGCGGUGAAAUGCGUAGAUAUCGGAAGGAACACCGGUGGCGAAAGCGGCGCGCUGGACCUCUACUGACGCUGAGGCGCGAAAGCCAGGG
rnacentral:rRNA from 1 species